UUACUACAUACUAUCAUCAGUAUCAGAAUGAGUAUCGCGAUGUAAAGCAUCAAUAUACAAUCAUCAGCAAAGGAUCUGUCGGCUGUAGCAUCGAUGAAGAAAGCAGAGAAAUGCGAUAAGUAAUAUGAACUGCAGAAUUCAGAGAAUCAUAGAAUCUAAGAACGCACCCUGUGCUCCGUGGUAUUACGAGGAGCAUGCCUGUAUGAGCGUCAUGUAAUCUUCAACCUAUGAACCUCUGCGGGUUUGUUAGGCUAGGACUAGGAGGCUCGCCGCCCCAGUUGUCGGCUCCUAUCAAAUGCAUUAGCAUGAUUCCUUGAGGAUCGGCUCUCGGUGUGAUAAUUGUCUACGCCGCGACCAAGAAGCGUUUGACGAGCUUAUAACCGUCUAGCAUGAGACAAUUCAUUGACCUCUGACCUCAAAUCAGGUAGGACUACCCGCUGAACUUAAGCAUAUCAAUAAGCGGAGGA
rnacentral:rRNA from 1 species